GACGAACGCUGGCGGCGUGCUUAACACAUGCAAGUCGAGCGGUAAGGCCCUUUCGGGGGUACACGAGCGGCGAACGGGUGAGUAACACGUGGGUGACCUGCCUCUAGCUCUGGGAUAAGCCUGGGAAGCUGGGUCUAAUACCGGAUAUGACCUCGCGGUGCAUGUUGCGGGGUGGAAAGCCUUGUGCGGCUAGGGAUGGGCCCGCGGCCUAUCAGCUUGUUGGUGGGGUGANGGCCUACCAAGGCGACGACGGGUAGCCGGCCUGAGAGGGCGACCGGCCACACUGGGACUGAGACACGGCCCAGACUCCUACGGGAGGCAGCAGUGGGGAAUCUUGCGCAAUGGGCGAAAGCCUGACGCAGCGACGCCGCGUGAGGGAUGACGGCCUGGUGUAACU
rnacentral:rRNA from 1 species